AGUGAAUAGAUACCCGGGUAGUCCACGCCGUAAACGAUGUUCACUAGGUGUUGGGGGUAUUGACCCCCUCAGUGCCGGAGCUAAACGCAUUAAGUGAACCGCCUGGGGAGUACGGUCGCAAGACUAAAACUCAAAGGAAUUGACGGGGGCCCGCACAAGCGGUGGAGCAUGUGGUUUAAUUCGAUGCAGCGCGAAGAACCUUACCUGGGCUUGACAUCUGGGGAAUCCCCUGGAAACAGGGGAGUGCCCUUCGGGGAGCCCCAAGACAGGUGCUGCAUGGCUGUCAUCAGCUCGUGUCGUGAGAUGUUGGGUUAAGUCCCGCAACGAGCGCAACCCUUGUCUUUAAUUGCCAUCAUUCAGUUGGGCACUUUAAAGAGACUGCCGGUGUUAAACCGGAGGAAGGUGGGGAUGACGUCAAGUCCUCAUGGCCUUUAUGCCCAGGGCUACACACGUGCUACAAUGGGUGGUACAAAGAGCAGCGAGCUCGCGAGAGUAAGCGAAUCUCAAAAAGCCAUCCUCAGUUCGGAUUGAAGUCUGCAAC
rnacentral:rRNA from 1 species